rnacentral:rRNA from 1 species
GACGAACGCUGGCGGCGUGCUUAACACAUGCAAGUCGAACGGAAAGGCCCUGCUUUUGUGGGGUGCUCGAGUGGCGAACGGGUGAGUAACACGUGAGUAACCUGCCCUUGACUUUGGGAUAACUUCAGGAAACUGGGGCUAAUACCGGAUAGGAGCUCCUGAUGCAUGGUGGGGGUUGGAAAGUUUCGGCGGUUGGGGAUGGACUCGCGGCUUAUCAGCUUGUUGGUGGGGUAGUGGCUUACCAAGGCUUUGACGGGUAGCCGGCCUGAGAGGGUGGCCGGCCACAUUGGGACUGAGAUACGGCCCAGACUCCUACGGGAGGCAGCAGUGGGGAAUAUUGCACAAUGGGCGGAAGCCUGAUGCAGCAACGCCGCGUGCGGGAUGACGGCCUUCGGGUUGUAAACCGCUUUCGCCUGUGACGAAGCGUGAGUGACGGUAAUGGGUAAAGAAGCACCGGCUAACUACGUG